rnacentral:rRNA from 1 species
GAGGAAUAUUGGUCAAUGGACGAGAGUCUGAACCAGCCAAGUAGCGUGAAGGAUGACUGCCCUAUGGGUUGUAAACUUCUUUUAUACGGGAAUAAAGUGAGGCACGUGUGCCUUUUUGUAUGUACCGUAUGAAUAAGGAUCGGCUAACUCCGUGCCAGCAGCCGCGGUAAUACGGAGGAUCCGAGCGUUAUCCGGAUUUAUUGGGUUUAAAGGGAGCGUAGGCGGACGCUUAAGUCAGUUGUGAAAGUUUGCGGCUCAACCGUAAAAUUGCAGUUGAUACUGGGUGUCUUGAGUACAGUAGAGGCAGGCGGAAUUCGUGGUGUAGCGGUGAAAUGCUUAGAUAUCACGAAGAACUCCGAUUGCGAAGGCAGCUUGCUGGACUGUAACUGACGCUGAUGCUCGAAAGUGUGGGUAUCAAACAAGAUUAGAUACCCUGGUAGUCCACACAGUAAACGAUGAAUACUCGCUGUUUGCGAUAUACAGUAAGCGGCCAAGCGAAAGCGUUAAGUAUUCCACCUGGGGAGUACGCCGGCAACGGUGAAACUCAAAGGAAUUGACGGGGGCCCGCACAAGCGGAGGAACAUGUGGUUUAAUUCGAUGAUACGCGAGGAACCUUACCCGGGCUUGAAUUGCAACUGAAUGAUGUGGAGACAUGUCAGCCGCAAGGCAGUUGUGAAGGUGCUGCAUGGUUGUCGUCAGCUCGUGCCGUGAGGUGUCGGCUUAAGUGCCAUAACGAGCGCAACCCUUAUCGAUAGUUACCAUCAGGUUAUGCUGGGGACUCUGUCGAGACUGCCGUCGUAAGAUGUGAGGAAGGUGGGGAUGACGUCAAAUCAGCACGGCCCUUACGUCCGGGGCUACACACGUGUUACAAUGGGGGGUACAGAAGGCAGCUACACGGCGACGUGAUGCUAAUCCCGAAAGCCUCUCUCAGUUCGGAUUGGAGUCUGCAACCCGACUCCAUGAAGCUGGAUUCGCUAGUAAUCGCGCAUCAGCCACGGCGCGGUGAAUACGUUCCCG